rnacentral:misc_RNA from 1 species
CGCUUAUCGCUGUUAGGCACACUUUACAUUUUCUGAUGGACAUGUACGGACGGCUGAUCAGCUGUUAAUGAUGAGGACAGCAUGUUGGAUUUGCUAAUGCCUGGAUGAUCAAGGACCUGAAUGCCAGCAUGACAAAAACACUCCGAGAGAAGAUUGCUGCCAAAAAGGAGCAGCAACGAGAAGAGGUGGAGCUGAAGAAAUUUGAACGAGAGAAGAAAAAACAAGAGCAGGAGGAACGUCAAAGAGAAAAGGAGAGGAAGGAGAAAGAACGACAGCAGGAAAAGCUCCGACGUCUCAGCAGUUCAGAGAGUAUUGGCCUUGAUGGUUUAACCAUAUCAGGGUCAGGCUCCAACUCCACCUCAAACCUUGGCAGUCCUGCUAAAGCUGCUCCGCCAAAAUUCACACAACCAGCCAUAACUCCCCGCAAAAAGAUCAGAACUGCAAAUGAACCUGUGUCUAGUCAACCGAUGUCUGCCACAUCCCACUCGCCCACGACCGAGUCCGAGAAUCCUGAGGACUGGAAACCGUUCCGUGAUGCUGAUGGUGCUCUCCGUGAAGCUUUAAGGAAAAUAGGCCAGGAGGACUGGGAGGUGAAGGUGGAAGCCAUUAACAUGUUACGCAGAUUGACUAUUCAUCAUCCUGAGACCCUCUCCAGCCAGCUACAUACAGUCAUACUGGCUAUCAUAGCAGAGGUGAAGAAUCUGAGGUCUCAGGUGUCAAGACUUGCUAUCACAUGUUUGGCUGAAAUGUUCUCCAAUCUGAAGAGGCAGAUGGACCAGGAUCUGGAUAAUACAACAAAAUGCCUGCUGGCCAAAUCUGGCGAGAGUAACAACUUCAUCCGCACAGAUGUUGACAGGGCUCUGAAAGCCAUGGUGGAGAAUGUUACAGCAACACGAGCUCUCCUGGCUAUCAUCAUGGGUGGAUCUUCUCACAAGAACAAUGCUGUUAGACGCACAACAGCUCAGUGCCUUGUGGUUCUUGUGGAGAAGAUGGGACCUGGGAAGAUCCUCAGUGGUGUCAAGGACAUCACAGACAGAGUUCUGCCGACAGCUGCUCAGUUUGCUUUGGACAGCUCUCAGGAAACAAGGUAUUAUGGCAAAAAGAUCCUGUAUCAACUCAUGUCUCACCAAGACUUUGACAAGAUGCUUACCAAGUACCUGCCUGCCAACACACUCCGCAGUGUGCAAGAUGUUGUGGACACUCUACGACAGAAGGGUUUGGGUGAAGUACCCCAUGUAACGUCUUCAGCAAGGUCGGGUCAAGGCAGCCGAUCCAGGUCAUCUGUUCGUGGCGGGUCAGCUAGCAGUUCUGCCGAAAGUGUGAACACCCCCCAGCCAAAACGAAAGUCAGUGCGCACUGAUGAGGCCACUUUGGACGACAUCCGGGAGAUGAUCAGCCAUCUGGGUUCCAAUGACUGGAAGACGAGGCUUGAUGGCAUCACACAGUUCCAACAGAUGGCAGAAUCAAACCCUAAUGCUGUGUCAGCACAGCAUGUAAAAAUAUUUGACAAGUUCCUGCCACGCCUGCAAGACUCCAACAGCAAGGUGAAUCUACAUGCGCUGCAAGUGAUGCUGCUAGUCAUCCCUAUACUCAAGGACUGCAUGCUCAGCGGCAUCCUCAACAUGGUCAUUGGCAACGUCGCUCCUAACCUUUCUUCCAAAAAUCGAGUUAUCUACACAACAACGACUGACAUCCUGGAGUGCUUUAUUGAACACAUGGAUUCAUCCUUGUUAAUCCAACCAUUCGCCAACCAGGCCCAGGCAGUCAGUGCUAGGAGCAAACCAGACAUGGUCCUCAAAGUUGCAUACCUUGUUGACAAAGUUUACUCUAAGAAGCAGAAACAGGUGAUCCUCCACGUUCUGCCUCUACUGUGGCAUCUCCUGGGCGCCCAGAACAGCAGUGGUGCCCUGCAUGGCGGCAGCAGUGACUUGCGCCACGCCGUGUCCUCCCUAGUGUCUGUCCUGUAUAAACACAUGGGCCAGAGUCUCGUGGAGAAAGCCAGCUCUGACCCCAACGUCAGCACACGCCAUCUCAAACUGCUGCAGGAACUUAUUGAUCAGUCAUAACGCCAACAUCAGCAUCAGACAUUACCAUGUAGUUUUGGAGGUCAUUGAUCAGUCAGGAUUCCUUGAGCACCAGACAAGUUUAUGUGUUGGGGCUGAUUGACCAGGAGGAUUAUGUACAUUGUCAGUUACAUCAUACCAAAGGAAAAUUGUUGUGUUGCACUGGAUACUCAGCUUACUAAUUGUGAGAACCUAUGGGAAAACAUGUUAUAUUUUCAGGUGAUCAUAUGUUAAUACCCGAAGUUGUUGACAAGAUAUAAUAUUAAAGGAGGACUGAAUGGAGGACUGAUGUU